ACCCGAGACCUUCGGGAAUGUUUCUUUUCCAACGAACCAACUGCGCCAGCAGACUUUGUCAAUUUAGAAAGGAACAAAAUAUAUUUAAGUAGUACUAGUUAACAGAAACUUUAGGGUAUUAAAAGGAAGAACUUAGGGAUUAAUCACAAAACCUAAAUUCUUCCUCCCCUUUCUCUCGGCGACGGCGUUUUCUCUCGGGCGAAAAACGCAGCGAGCUUGAGGGCGUCUCCGGCGGCCGACCAAGGCUCGAUUCCAAGAGAUUUCUUCGCCCUCUCGAUCCUCUCGACAAGGAGAACUCGAAGACGCGAGGAAGAGGCCGAGAUCGUGAGUUUCUCCGAAGCCCUAGAAGCUAUCUUGCUCGGUUGUAAGUCCAAGAACCGAAGAUAAAGGAAAAGCUAAAGUAUAAGGAAGAAGGCGACAAGGAGAUGCUGUGACGAUAUGGAUAAAAAUAAAGGAAAAGCUAAAGUGGUAUAGAAGAAGGCGACAAGGAGACGUUGAUAGUGUGUGUGUGGUGGCGGAUAUGGAAGUUUGGGAUCUAGCUAAUAAAUUGCUGCAAGUUAAUUUAUUUAGUUUUCUUCUUAAAUAACUAGGAGAAUUUAGAGAAAUACAAAUUCUGUUACUCUUUCUGUUUUGCUGUUAUGAAGUGUUUAAAUGUUUUGUUUUUGUUUCUGUUGGAUUUCUGGAACCAUUCGGAUGGUCAAAUGCAUGGUUAAAUGUUUUAUGGAAGUAAAUGCAUAUGAAAAUUCGGUUUUCAUUGUA